GUCAGUUCCUGUAUGCUCAAACGUUUUGUUGUCAAUUUUAUGACGGUCACCACGCUAUAUAAUAGGACUGUCCAGCUUUGGUCGUUCUUUUCACUGCUAUCGCCAACUUGCGCUUGAUCUGCAUGAGCACUAUUAAAAGAUGGACAUCGAGAGAAUGGAGAAACACAGGCUUGAAAUCGAGCGUAUAUGCACAUACAUAUCAACGGGUAAAUAUUGGAAAGGUGCAAGUGCAACUGAUAAAAAGAGAAUACGUUGUGCAUCAAAGAAACACAUUUUGGAAAAUGGUGUUCUGUUCUACAUUGAUGCUGAUGGAAUGAAGACAGAAGUGAUCACAAGCCUCGAGAAGGUGAAAGAGAUUGUAGAAUAUUAUCACGGCUCCAGAGAAGGGGAGUGCAUUGUGGUAUAAAUGCCACAGUGGAGAAGAUUAGCAAUGUCUACCGCUGGGGAUCUGUUAAGCAGGAUGUUAUACAUUAUAUUAAAAGGUGUCCUUUCUGCCAGACCCAGCACUCAUCCAUGUCCCUUAACCCCAGAGAUGAUGAAGAGCUUCCACAUAAAAAGUCUAAACUGCAGCCAACAGAAAUUUCCAAAACAAAAAAACGAUCUUCCAGCACUGUCUUAUCAGCAAGAUCCUCUUCAUCUAGCCAGUCGAAUGUACAACCAGUCAAACCAAAUGCAGGCCAUCGUGUUCCUGUUACACCAUCUGCUCAAGCCAAUGUCAGCCUUGCAAGCACAAGAUUUGCUCUGGCCAGAAAGAAGACUGCAGGAGUGGGAAAGAAGUUGCCAGCAUGUGGCUUGAGUGGUCGACAUAAAGACAUGGAAUACAUGCUGAGCCAGCAAGAAGCCAGAUCAAGCUUCCUGCAGUCUCAGCUGGAGUCACAUAACAAGCGUGUUGCUCACCUUGAGCAGCAAACGGAAAAAUUGUCUGGAGAUGUUGCUCACCGUGAUAAGUUGUCACAGGUGGUUGACAAGGAGAAUGCAGAGCGACAAAGACAAAGGGACAUCCAGGAAGAGAUGGAUACACCGCACAGUAAACAUCAGCAGGAAAUCGAGGAUUUGACAUUCCGUAAAUUAUAUCUUGAGCGACAGUAUGCAACCCUUGAGGAAGAACUGAAAGCAGCUAGGACAGAGGUGUCAACACUCAACUCAUCUGUAGCACGUCUUAGCUCUUCACGGGCAUCGGUCGAUGCUGAGUUGGCAGCUACCAAGUUAUCCCUUGAGCAAGCAUUCGGAAAAAUUCAAGCCGAAAAAGAGGUGAUUCAACAGCUGAGGUUGGAACUAGCUGGACGGGAUGCCAUCAUUGAUGAGAACAACCGAAAAAUCAGAGAGCAUGAGACCAUAAGAUGCAAACUAUACAACACCAUUCAGAACUUAAGAAGGACAAUAUUCGAGUGUUUUGCCGAGUGCGCCCACUUCUUGCUAAAGAGAUGUGUUGUACACAUGGUGUCAUUCAUCACAUGAACUUUCCUGAUCCAGAAGGCCGUGUGCUGGAGCUGGAUAUGAUGUCAAAGAUGGCCAGGAAUGAGAUCACAUCAUUAGCAAGUGACCAUGAAGGCAAUAAAUAUAAAUUCUGCUUUGACCGAGUCUUUCAACCUGAAUCGUCACAGGAGGAAGUGUUUAAAGAAAUAUCUCAACUAGUGCAG
rnacentral:misc_RNA from 1 species